UCAAAGUAAAAAUUACUUUUAAGUAAAUCUUA
rnacentral:tRNA from 1 species